CUGGGAAGCACCACUACUGAGCUGAUGUCCAUCAGGAGGGAGGCCAGUACCAAAGCCACAACAGGCACUGCCAUCCCAGAAACCAAGGACACAUCAGGGGGGCUCAGCAUGAGCCUUUCCCCCCAUGCAGCUCUCAGAAACCCUGAUGGUCCCUCUCCAAGGCCCCUUCCACAGUCCAUGGGCUCUCUGCUCCCUCAGUCCCUCUCAGCAGGCCUUGGGACCACCACAGCAGAGGCAGCUGCAGGCAGAUCUCCUUCAGCCACUCCCAGCACGGCCAUGCCUUUGUCCCUCACGGGCACGACUGGAGCAAAGCCAGACAGGGUCCCUCGAGCUGCUGCUGCUGCACCACCACCUUCCAUCGCUGCGUUUGGCAUCGGGACUGUGCCAGCCACCUAUCCAUCCUCCUCUGUUAGCAACUCUCCAAGUAGUGAAGCAGGGAUAGGAUCAGCAUCACUGGCCAGUGGCAGUGCCACCACAAUGCCGGGGGACACCAAAGCCACCCUGCCUGUGCCUGAUGCACACCCCAGCCACAGCCAGCCAGGGCCCACAGCUGGCUCAACAACCCCUGGAACUGGCAUCACACCCAGAUCUGCACUAACCCCAGUGCUCUGGGCUGGGCCCCAGAUUGUGGAAGCUCCAGGGACAGAGAUGCCAUCACCCAACACUGCACCAGGCACUGGCAGAGCUAUAUCAGAUACCCCUGGGGGACCCAGAGCAGUCACUGUCCCCAUGGCAUCACAAACUGACAUCUCCCCUCUCCUGGAAGGCAGAGCCAAUGUAGGGACGGCUCUGGAGGUGUCUCCAACCAGCAUCCCCCAAGAGAUGGCAGCAGUCACGUCCCCACUGUCCCUGACUGCCCCACUGCAAGCAAUGGGGGCUUCAGGUGACCCCCAGCCCAAUGGCAGCACCACAGGGCGAGCAACAAGCAUGGGGUUCCUGGAGGUGAGCACGGAGGAGAACCCAGGUGCCAGUGAAGCAGGGCCAGCUCCCAGCAAAACAAUUGUCACUGCCAG
rnacentral:lncRNA from 1 species